CCUACGGGGGGCAGCAGUGGGGAAUAUUGGGCAAUGGGCGCAAGCCUGACCCAGCAACGCCGCGUGAAGGAAGAAGGCUUUCGGGUUGUAAACUUCUAUCAGCAGGGAAGAAAAUGACGGUACCUGACUAAGAAGCCCCGGCUAACUACGUGCCAGCAGCCGCGGUAAUACGUAGGGGGCAAGCGUUAUCCGGAUUUACUGGGUGUAAAGGGAGCGUAGACGGCAUGGCAAGUCUGAUGUGAAAACCCGGGGCUCAACCCCGGGACGGCAUUGGAAACUGUCAGGCUAGA
rnacentral:rRNA from 1 species